CCUAACACAUGCAAGUCGAACGGGGUGAGGCCCUUCGGGACCUUUACCUAGUGGCGAACGGGUGAGUAACGCGUGAGGAACCUGCCUUUCAGUGGGGGACAACAGUUGGAAACGACUGCUAAUACCGCAUGAAGCUUUUGGGAGACAUCUCCUGAAAGCCAAAGCUUAAUGUGCUGAAAGAUGGCCUCGCGUCUGAUUAGCUAGUUGGUGGGGUAACGGCCCACCAAGGCGACGAUCAGUAGCCGGUCUGAGAGGAUGAACGGCCACAUUGGGACUGAGAUACGGCCCAGACUCCUACGGGAGGCAGCAGUGGGGAAUAUUGGGCAAUGGGCGAAAGCCUGACCCAGCAACGCCGCGUGAAGGAAGAAGGCCUUCGGGUUGUAAACUUCUUUUACCAGGGACGAAGGACGUGACGGUACCUGGAGAAAAAGCAACGGCUAACUACGUGCCAGCAGCCGCGGUAAUACGUAGGUUGCAAGCGUUGUCCGGAUUUACUGGGUGUAAAGGGCGUGUAGGCGGAGAUGCAAGUUAGGAGUGAAAUCUAUGGGCUCAACCCAUAAACUGCUUCUAAAACUGUAUCCCUUGAGUAUCGGAGAGGCAAGCGGAAUUCCUAGUGUAGCGGUGAAAUGCGCAGAUGUUAGGAGGAACACCAGUGGCGAAGGCGGCUUGCUGGACGACAACUGACGCUGAGGCGCGAAAGCGUGGGGAGCAAACAGGAUUAGAUACCCUGGUAGUCCACGCUGUAAACGAUGAAUACUAGGUGUGGGGGGACUGACCCCCUCCGUGCCGCAGUUAACACAAUAAGUAUUCCACCUGGGGAGUACGACCGCAAGGUUGAAACUCAAAGGAAUUGACGG
rnacentral:rRNA from 1 species